CCAAUAGCGUAUAUUAAAGUUGUUGCAGUUAAAAAGCCCGUAGUUGAAUUUCGGGAUCAAUACGUCUGUCGUGCCUUCGGUACGUACGGGUGUAAUUGGUUUCUACCUUCUGAGGAUCCUUGAUGUCAUUAAUUUGGUGUCUUGGGGAAUCAGGACUGUUACCUUGAAAAAAUUAGAGUGUUUAAAGCAGGCAUACGCUUGAAUACAUUAGCAUGGAAUAAUGAAAUAGGACGUUCGAUUCUAUUUUGUUGGUUUCUAGGAUCGACGUAAUGAUUAAUAGGGAUAGUUGGGGGCAUUAGUAUUCAAUUGUCAGAGGUGAAAUUCUUGGAUUUAUUGAAGACUAACUACUGCGAAAGCAUUUGCCAAGGAUGUUUUCAUUAAUCAAGAACGAAAGUUAGGGGAUCGAAGACGAUCAGAUACCGUCGUAGUCUUAACCAUAAACUAUGCCGACUAGGGAUCGGAUGAUGUUAAUUUUUUAAUGACUCAUUCGGCGCCUUACG
rnacentral:rRNA from 1 species